GAAUGCUUCUGCUCUACUGGUCACAGUGCAAGAGCAGAGCCUUCAGAGAGUGACAAACGCAGCCAGCGACACAAACUCUGCGCUUCAGAGAGCUGACGAGGCCUCAGUGUGGGAUUAAAACACACAGAGGAGAGAAUCUGCAGAGAAUGAGAAAUGAUGGAGAUCAGGGUGAAAGAGUCUCUUUUUGUCUUUAACUUUACAGAACUGCUGUUUGUUUCUGCUAUCUUAUCCAUCU